rnacentral:rRNA from 1 species
GAUGAACGCUGGCGGCGCGCCUAAUACAUGCAAGUCGAGCGAACGGACGAGAAGCUUGCUUCUCUGAUGUUAGCGGCGGACGGGUGAGUAACACGUGGAUAACCUACCUAUAAGACUGGGAUAACUUCGGGAAACCGGAUCUAAUACCGUAUAAUAUUUUGAACCGCAUGGUUCAAAAGUGAAAGACGGUCUUGCUGUCACUUAUAGAUGGAUCUGCGCUGCAUUAGCUAGUUGGUAAGGUAACGGCUUACCAAGGCAACGAUGCAUAGCCGACCUGAGAGGGUGAUCGGCCACACUGGAACUGAGACACGGUCCAGACUACUACGGGAGGCAGCAGUAGGGAAUCUGCCGCAAAGGGCGAAAGCCUGACGGAGCAACGCCACGUGAGUGAUGAAGGUCUUCGGAUCGUAAAACUCUGUUAUUAGGGAAGAACAUAUGUGUAAGUAACUGUGGCCAUAUUGACGGUAACUAAUCAGAAAGCCACGGCUAACUACGUG